GAGUCGAAAUCAAGAACCGGAUGCUUAACUGACUCAGCCACUCAGGCGCCCCCACAAGCAGCUCUUUCUAACUGCACACUCACUAUGUCCAAGGCACUAUGCGAGGCACUCCCUAUUACUUUGUUUAAUCCUCACAGCACCCUACUGAGAGGGUGUAUAGUUGUACUAUUUAACUUUAGAGGGAAUAGACACAGAGAAGUUGAGUGACUUGCCUAAGGUCACGUAGCAAGGAAAUGGUGGAGUUGGGUUUCAAGCCCAUGAUAGUACAUUUGUUUUCUUCCCCCCUUUGUUUGACAUUUUAUUAUGAAAAACUAAACGUUCAGACACAUCGAAUACUACAAAACACCUGCAAAUAUGCAUGACAAAGAUAGAACAAUGAGCAUUUUGCCAGAUUUGCUUCUUUUUUUUGCGCUAAAAUAUUUCAAAGUCAAUUAUAGACGUCGUGACACUUGAGAAUGUGUCUCUAAAAAAACAAACUCAAUUUUCUAUAUAAACCAGCAUGCCAUUCCCACACUGAGCAAAACAAACAAUUUCCUGCUAUCAUCUAAUGCAAGGAUCACGUUUACACCCCCCCAGACAGAACACGCUCUCGCCUGGAUUCUUUUUUUUUUUUCUUCAAUUGUUUUCUUAACGUUUAUUUAUUUUUUGAGAGACAGAGUGUGAGCGGGGGAGGGGGCAGAGAGACAGAGGGAGUCACAGAAUCCGAAGCAGGCUCCAGGCUCGGAGCUGUCGUCACAGAGCCUGAUGUGGGGCUCCAACCCGCGAACCGCGAACCGCGAACCGCGAACCGCGAACCGCGAGAUCAUGACCUGAGCCGAAGUCGGACGCUUAACCGACUGAGCCACCCAGGCGCCCCUCUCCUGGAUUCUUAUUGCACCACUUCGCUGCUCCCAAGGAGCAAAUGGACGGGGUUUGGAGGAGAUCUUUUCCAGCCUCUCUCCCUAGGUCCCCUGCGGGAGACAACCCCUUCCUUCCCUCUUACCCCUUUGGGGGCAAGUUUGCUAAACAGGAGAGUCCCAGGGACCUACGGUGGAUGGUGAAGCUGUGCGGGAGGCUCGGGGGAGCCCUUUGUCCUCGGGUAGUCGUCCCGAGGACCUGAGUAGAGCCAUGUCCUGGUUGUAGGGACCUCAGCAGAGGCUCUGAUGCCCUGGCCCUCCAGCCAGCGUGUAGGCUGUCCCAAUCCAGGGGGGCCUUGACCCUAGGAGCCCCUCCCCUUGGAGGCUCCCUUGUCCACCCUGUGCCUGCAGACCAAACAGCCCGCUGGCCUGCUUCAGCCAAAACAGGAGCUAGAGGAAGGUCAGCUUAUCAGGCCUCCCCUACUCCCUUACCCCAUGGGCCUGCCUUUCACCACAAUCAGUGUCUGGGGUGAGGGAAGGGUUGAUGGCACAAGGUGAGGCCACUCUUGGGGUCCACUCCCGCCUGAAGAGGAAUGCUUUUCAGCAGGACUCUGAGAUAGCCCGGGGCCCCACGGGCAAUAACAAAGGAGCUUGCCUGCCCGUGGCCAGUGAGGAUAGGGGUCUCUAAGUUUUCUUCUGGCCCCCAUGUCUGUACUGUCCUAAUCUUUGGGAUGGGUGGGAAGGACCUUGACCUAAGGCAGGAGGUGAUGACCUCUUGGUCUUUGCUCUCUGAAGGGGAUUAAAGUGUUCAAGGCCAGGUCAGACCAACCCUGAAAGAACAGGGUCUGGGUUUCCCUUCUCAGACUGGGGUCCCUGAGGCAGGGCUGUGCCUCCCCCUCAGACAGGGGCUCCCUGAGACUGGGUCAACACUAACCUUCCCUCACCAUUGUUACCUCUAGGUGCACCCCGCUAUCCACAUACACUGAGUGUGGCUCCUGUGAGAGUGGAGCUCCUCCGAGGACCCCUGAUCCUCAUUGCUCAGGAGCCUGGAGCUGGGCUGAGAGUAGAAAUGAGUUGGUUUCACUUUGCUGGAGAGAAGCAGAAGUGGGAUAAGCUGGUUGGAGCCCACUGCCUGGAGCCGAGCUCGUCCUCUGUUCAUGUGGGGACAGAGCUCCAUCCAGCUCCACAGACUCCGGAUUAUAUAGUUCCACUGGCCCACCCGGAACUUCAGAAUGUGACCUUAUUUGGAAGUAGGGUCUUUGCCUAUGUGUUUAAGUUAAGGCUCUGGAGAUGAGAUCAUCCUGGAUUUAGGGUGAGCCCUAAAUCCAAUAACUCGUCAGAAGAGGAGACACGGAGGGAUGCGGGAAGACACGGGGAGAAAGCCGUGUGAAGACGGAGCCAGAAACCCGAGGGGUGCGGCCUCAAGUCAAGGAACCCCAAGGAUUGCCAGGAGCCACCAGAAGCUGGAAGAGGCACGAUCCUCCCCUCUGGGAGCCUUUAGAGGAAGUAUAGCCCUGCCAACACCUUGAUUUUCAGACAUGUAGCCUCCAGAACUGGAGGGAAUAAAUUUCUGUUGUUCUAAGCCACCAAGUUUGUGGUAAUUUGUUAUGGCAGCUACGGGAAAUGAAUACAACGCUCUGUCAUUUACUCAUCUAUUUGUUUAUUAUCCAUAAACACAC